rnacentral:rRNA from 1 species
GGAGGGCGCAAGCGUUGUUCGGAAUCAUUGGGCGUAAAGCGCGUGUAGGCGGUCGGGCAAGUCGGAUGUGAAAUCCGGAGGCUCAACCUCGGAACUGCAUUCGAAACUGCUCGGCUAGAGUCCCGGAGAGGGUGGCGGAAUUCCCAGUGUAGAGGUGAAAUUCGUAGAUAUUGGGAGGAACACCAGCGGCGAAGGCGGCCACCUGGACGGUGACUGACGCUGAGACGCGAAAGCGUGGGGAGCAAACAGGGAUUAGAUACCCUGGUAGUCCACGCCGUAAACGUUGGGUGCUAGGUGUUGCGGGUAUUGACCCCCCGCGGUACCGAAGCUAACGCGUUAAGCACCCCGCCUGGGGAGUACGGUCGCAAGACUA